GACACGGAGCGCGCUAUUAAAAAGCCGUAGGCGGGACUUUGGCUUUCUCUCGGCCUUAGCGCCAUCUUUGUGGAAACCUCCGCGCCAUGAGAGCCAAGUGGAGGAAGAAGCGAAUGCGCAGGCUGAAGCGCAAAAGAAGAAAGAUGAGGCAGAGGUCCAAGUAAACCGCUUGCUUGUGCACACGUGAAGGCCACAAGAUCAGAAACAUGGAAUGCCAGAGUCCGGGGACGCUGAUACAAGUUGUUGGACUGCAUGCUACUGUCUAGAACUUGCCUCUCAGUGGAUCUAGAACUUCACCGCCAUCCGAUCGCCAAGGCCACCUCUGAGAGACCAUCUUGCUCGUACCAAAACAGUCCCUACUGGUCCUUUUCCCUGGACUUGACAUACUGGACUAGUUCUGUUCUGAAUUGUGGCCGAGUGUAACAA